UACGAAGGGGGCUAGCGUUGCUCGGAAUCAUUGGGCGUAAAGCGCACGUAGGCGGCGCGUUAAGUCGGGUGUGAAAGCCCUGGGCUCAACCCAGGAAGUGCAUUCGAAACUGGCGCGCUUGAAUAUGGAAGAGGGUCGCGGAAUUCCCGGUGUAGAGGUGAAAUUCGUAGAUAUCGGGAGGAACACCAGUGGCGAAGGCGGCGACCUGGCCAAUAUUGACGCUGAGGUGCGAAGCGUGGGGAGCAAACAGG
rnacentral:rRNA from 1 species